UCUGUAAAGUUCCUUCGACGAGUCGAGUAGUUUGGGAAUGCUGCUCUAAAUGGGAGGUAUAUGUCUUCUAAAGCUAAAUACCGGCCAGAGACCGAUAGCGCACAAGUAGAGUGAUCGAAAGAUGAAAAGCACUUUGAAAAGAGAGUUAAAAAGUACGUGAAAUUGUUGAAAGGGAAGCGUUUAUGACCAGACUUGGGCUUGGUUAAUCAUCUGGGGUUCUCCCCAGUGCACUUUCCCAGUCCAGGCCAGCAUCAGUUUUCCCCGGGGGAUAAAGACUUCGGGAAUGUGGCUCUCUUCGGGGAGUGUUAUAGCCCGUUGUGUAAUACCCUGGGGGGGACUGAGGUUCGCGCAUCUGCAAGGAUGCUGGCGUAAUGGUCAUCAACGACCCGUCUUGAAACACGGACCAAGGAGUCGUCUUCGUAUGCGAGUGUUCGGGUGUCAAACCCCUACGCGUAAUGAAAGUGAACGCAGGUGAGAGCUUCGGCGCAUCAUCGACCGAUCCUGAUGUUCUCGGAUGGAUUUGAGUAAGAGCAUACGGGGCCGGACCCGAAAGAAGGUGAACUAUGCCUGUAUAGGGUGAAGCCAGAGGAAACUCUGGUGGAGGCUCGCAGCGGUUCUGACGUGCAAAU
rnacentral:rRNA from 1 species